rnacentral:rRNA from 1 species
UACGGAGGGAGCUAGCGUUGUUCGGAAUUACUGGGCGUAAAGCGCGCGUAGGCGGCUUUGUAAGUUAGAGGUGAAAGCCCGGGGCUCAACCCCGGAACAGCCUUUAAGACUGCAUCGCUAGAAUCCGGGAGAGGUGAGUGGAAUUCCGAGUGUAGAGGUGAAAUUCGUAGAUAUUCGGAAGAACACCAGUGGCGAAGGCGGCUCACUGGCCCGGUACUGACGCUGAGGUGCGAAAGCGUGGGGAGCAAACAGG